GUGGGGAAUAUUGGACAAUGGGCGAAAGCCUGAUCCAGCCAUGCCGCGUGAGUGAUGAAGGCCCUAGGGUUGUAAAGCUCUUUCACCGGGGAAGAUAAUGACGGUACCCGGAGAAGAAGCCCCGGCUAACUUCGUGCCAGCAGCCGCGGUAAUACGAAGGGGGCUAGCGUUGUUCGGAAUUACUGGGCGUAAAGCGCACGUAGGCGGAUCAGUCAGUUAGGGGUGAAAUCCCAGGGCUCAACCCUGGAACUGCCUUUAAUACUGCUGAUCUAGAGUUCGAGAGAGGUGAGUGGAAUUCCGAGUGUAGAGGUGAAAUUCGUAGAUAUUCGGAGGAACACCAGUGGCGAAGGCGGCUCACUGGCUCGAUACUGACGCUGAGGUGCGAAAGCGUGGGGAGCAAACAGGAUUAGAAACCCGUGUAGUCC
rnacentral:rRNA from 1 species